AAUUUUCUUCCAUUAAGAGCAUGUUCAUAUAAACAGGAACUUGAGGAGGAAGGAGGGUCAGAAGAUGGAGCCAGCUCAGAGGAGCUAUCAGCAGGAGAAAGGAGGGAGAGGAAUUCCCAACAACCCCACCUCCCGCUACCCUCCACAGCCGUGUGUUCUUCUGCCUCUCUUUUCUUUUGGCAAGCAGGUUGCCAGUGGGUUGCUAAUAAGUUCUAUUCUCAGAGGCAAAAC